GUAUGCAAGUUUGGUAGGUAUUUAUGAGGGGGAACACUACGCACAUCUCUUACAUCUUCCCCUCGCAAUCAAGAGAUCCGAAUUCACUCUUGCCGAUCCACUCGCAAAGCAUGGCGCAUUAGACAUUAAUCUUUUUUCUUUUUUGGUUAAAUAGGCAUUAAUCAAAUAAGCAAUGUGCGGAAUGUUCACCCUCCUAUCUAAACUAGACGUCCCGAAAUCGGAAAUAAUGUGGCCGGUUUAAACCCGACACAUUUCGCCAGAAGAAGAAAGGAAGCUCGCAUUCUUGUAUUUGGUAGACCCAAACUACCAUCCCUCUCUUUCUCUCCAUCUGUGCCUUUUGCAGGUUUGCGAGUCUGGGAGUAUUCAAAUCUUCAUUUUCGGGAGCAGACUCUCUCUCUCUCUCGGUCGCGGAGAGCCUUCUACUGCUGUUGUUCAUGGAGCAUCAGAGGCGCCUAGAUCAGAGCCUCCCAGAGAGGAAGGGUCAAAAGCGGAAACUGGAGGAAGAAGUCGAAGAAGGGCGAGAGAUCUCCGUACCCUCGGGGGAGGCAAGGCGAGCGCUACUCUCUGAGGUGGCUGCACAGCUUACUAUCCUGGACUCCACCUUCUCUUGGAAGGAAGCUGAUCGUGCCGCGGCCAAGCGCGCCACUCACAUCCUUGCCGAGCUCGCGAAGAAUGAGGAAGUUGUGAACGUGAUUGUUGAAGGCGGUGCGGUUCCGGGUUUGGUGAAGCAUCUUAAAGCGCCGCCUUCAGGCGAAGGUGACCGGAAUCCAAAGCCGUAUGAGCACGAGGUCGAGAAGGGGAGCGCUUUUGCACUAGGCCUUCUUGCUGUGAAGCCUGAGCAUCAACAAUUCAUAGUUGAUUGCGGUGCUUUGCCAAAUCUCGUGGAUCUGUUAAAGAGGCACAAGAACAGUUCUAGCUCUCGUGCUGUGACUAGUGUCAUUCGUAGAUCUGCCGAUGCCAUCACCAACCUUGCUCAUGAGAAUAGCAGCAUUAAAACCCGUGUCAGGAUGGAAGGCGGAAUUCCACCUCUUGUUGAAUUGCUCAAGUUCACAGAUACAAAGGUGCAAAGAGCUGCUGCUGGGGCUCUGCGAACCCUGGCAUUUAAAAAUGAUGAAAACAAGAAUCAGAUAGUUGAAUGUAAUGCACUUCCUACCCUCAUUCUAAUGCUUCGAUCUGAAGAUACUGCUAUCCAUUAUGAAGCGGUUGGUGUGAUUGGAAAUCUGGUGCACUCAUCCCCAAACAUAAAGAAGGAAGUUCUUUUAGCUGGAGCGCUGCAGCCUGUUAUUGGAUUACUUAGUUCCUGCUGCUCUGAGAGUCAAAGGGAGGCAGCUUUAUUACUUGGACAAUUUGCUGCAACUGAUUCUGAUUGCAAGGUUCAUAUUGUACAGAGGGGUGCUGUCCGACCUUUGAUUGAGAUGCUCCAAUCUUCUGAUGUACAGCUUAGGGAAAUGUCAGCUUUUGCAUUGGGGAGGUUGGCACAGGACAUGCACAAUCAAGCUGGUAUUGCUCACAGUGGUGGUUUGGUGCCUUUACUGAAGCUUCUUGAUUCCAAAAAUGGGUCUUUGCAACAUAAUGCUGCAUUUGCUCUUUAUGGGCUUGCGGAUAAUGAGGAUAAUGUAUCGGAUUUUAUUAGAGUGGGAGGUGUUCAGAAACUGCAGGAUGGAGAGUUUAUAGUUCAAGCAACAAAAGAUUGUGUAGCCAAGACGUUGAAAAGAUUAGAGGAGAAGAUUCAUGGACGAGUUUUGAAGUAUCUGUUAUAUCUUUUGCGUGGAGCAGAGAAGGCUGUCCAAAGACGAGUCUCUUUGGCUCUUGCCCAUCUUUGUUCUCCAGAUGCUCUGAGAACCAUAUUUAUUGAUAACAAUGGGUUGGAGUUGCUUCUUGGGCUCCUCGGUUCCUCUAGCCUUAAGCAGCAACUUGAUGGUGCUGUGGCUCUAUAUAAAUUGGCCAACAAAGCCAUGGUUCUUUCUCCUGUUGAUGCAGCUCCCCCGUCUCCAACACCGCAGGUCUAUUUAGGGGAGCAGUAUGUAGACAAUCCUACGCUGUCUGAUGUUACAUUUCUUGUUGAAGGUAGAAGGUUCUAUGCUCACAGAAUCUGCCUGCUUGCUUCGUCAGAUGCUUUCCGUGCAAUGUUUGAUGGAGGUUACCGGGAAAAGGAUGCAAGGGACAUAGAGAUUCCAAAUAUUAGAUGGGAGGUUUUCCAGUUGAUGAUGAGAUUCAUAUACACUGGAUCUGUAGAAGUUACAUUGGAUGUUGCACAAGAUCUUCUCAGAGCUGCUGAUCAGUAUCUCUUGGAGGGACUUAAGCGACUUUGCGAGUAUACUAUAGCACGGGAUAUAUCAUUGGAUAAUGUAUCGAGCAUGUAUGAACUUUCAGAAGCCUUCCAUGCAAUGUCAUUGAGGCACACAUGCAUCCUGUUUAUCUUGGAGCAAUAUGAUAAAUUGAGUGCUAGGCCAGGGCACUCUCAUCUGAUCCAGCGUAUUAUACCAGAGAUUCGUAAUUAUGCCAAAGCACUUACUAAGCCUAAUGCACAUAGGUUGCGGCCAUAGAUUGCUUUCUAUUCUUGAUCCCUAACCAAAAACGAUGUACAGAAAUGGUAGUUCGUGUUGUUGGGCCUGUUGACGUUUCUAGUUUGUUGAUUGUAGUGAGGCUCAUGACUUUCGGAGGCCAGACUCCUGUUGCAUGCACGCACUAUUGAUAACUAUAAGCUCUUGUUCGACAAACUCUCCUGCGCAGAUUGAUAACUGCAAGCUCCUUGUUUCACGCAUGUCCGUUCCUCUGCCUCGAACCAGAGUCUUCUUCGCACUUUCCGACUACAUGAAGCACUUCUUCUUCCCACAUUCCUCCUUGAAGCUGUCCCUCCUUUCCAUGACGGCUCUGCCUCUCCCUCCUUUCGUCUUCCCCACGAAAACAUAGGCGAUUCCCUUUCUGUGCCAUGAAGCUUUUCUUGCAAGCUUCCAUUUGCCGCAUGCUCAAAUACCAUGGCCCCUUGUUUUGAAAUCAUGGAGAUCGGAUUUAAGAAGUAGAAAUCUAUUAGCCUUCAAACAAAGGAAUUAAGAACAAA